CAUAAAGCGAUUCCAAUUAUAACAAACACAACAUGCGUGAAAUUCACUGAUGCUGUAAAUAUUGUUGUUGCUUGUUAUCGACUUCAUCACUGUGAUUGGGGUGACAGUGGAGGAAGGAGCGUCUCUUCCUUUGGCUUCGGCUGUCGCGAUGUCCCCGGCGCGGUCUACAUCAAUGUGUCCUGCCCUAACAUUAGGCUCUGAUCAGACGGCACACUGGUUUCUUGUCUACACGUAGCUGAAAUGGGCAGGUGGAGUUGCCUUACUUGAUAAGGCGCAUCAUCGUUAUCAUCGUGACAACCCAUUGCCGGUACACUACUGAGCACGGGUCUCCUUUCAGAAUAAACUGGUGUUCAAUAAAGAUGUUGUAAAAAU